AAAAUUAAAGGGCCGCGGUAUUUUGACCGUGCAAAGGUAGCAUAAUCACUAGUCUUUUAAUUGAAGGCUUGAAUGAAUGGUUGAACAAAGAAAUAACUGUCUUUUUUAUAAGAAUUGAAUUUAACUUUAAAGUGAGAAGGCUUUAAUUUACUAAAGGGACGAUAAGACCCUAUAAAGCGUUUUGUUGGGGUGACAUGAGUAUAAGUUAUAACUGCUUAGGUGUUUAAACAUAAGUUAAUGAGUUUGAUCCUUAAUAAAGAUUACCAGAAUAAGUUACUUUAGGGAUAACAGCGUUAUUUUUCUUGAGAGUUCAUAUCGAAAGAAAAAAUUGCGACCUCGAUGUUGAAUUAAGAUUUCUUUAUAAUGCAGCAGUUAUAAUAGAAGGUCUGUUCGACCUUUAAAUUUUU
rnacentral:rRNA from 1 species